CGAGUCUAUGGACUUCGGUCCAUGGCGGACGGCUCAGUAACACGUGGUUAACCUACCCUUAGGUGGGGGAUAACCUUGGGAAACUGAGGAUAAUACCCCAUAGGAAAAGAGGUUUGGAAUAAUCCUUUUCUGAAAGGACAUCCGCCUAAGGAUGGGACUGCGUCCGAUUAGGUAGUUGGUGGGGUAAUGGCCCACCAAGCCUACGAUCGGUACGGGCCUUGAGAGAGGGAGCCCGGAGAUGGGGACUGAGACACGGCCCCAGGCCCUACGGGGCGCAGCAGGCGCGAAACCUCCGCAAUGCACGAAAGUGCGACGGGGGAAUCCCAAGUGCCCAUGCAAAGCAUGGGCUUUUCCCAAGUUUAAACAACUUGGGGAAUAAGGGCUGGGCAAGUCCGGUGCCAGCAGCCGCGGUAA
rnacentral:rRNA from 1 species